GCCAUUCCCUUGCCGAACGCCCCUGCAAGCCAGCUCUGGGGGCCCAGGGGAGCCAGUGGAGACUCUGACGGUCACCUCCUGCCUUUCUCUGGGGGCAGUGGCAGGGGCAGCCUCACGGGCUCUGUUUUCCAUGUCAGGCAGAGGAGGGAGACGGGUGCUGGAGCUGCGGCUCCAGCUGAGCUCCCUCCGGAGGGCUGCGUAAGCAGCCUUGCACGCGCCCUGGGGAACCGUGGAUCUCCGCAGUGCAGGCCGACCCGCUUUGCAGUCUGCCUCCAGCCGGGGCUGCUGGCCCUUUGGAGGCAAAAACUCCUGGCUUCAGUCCCGACACUGCAGUUAAACCCCUGCGGCUGGCUCAGAUCAGCUAACUCGAGCUGGCAGGGCUCAGCCUGCAGGACUGUGAAACUGCGGAGCUCAGGCAGGAGGCUGGGCUCUCCGACCCAACAUUGCCCGCACAGCCGGAGCCCGAACAGCUACGCUGCAAUUGUACAGCCCUGCAGCCCAAGCCCUGCGCCCCGGAGUCUGCUGACCUAGGCCACAUGCAGGUGUGUUGUUUGGUGCAGACCCAAUUAUUCCCAGUAAUACCCUGAGGGGCCAACUCUACACUUCGGGGAACAGGGAGUGGAUUCCUUCCUGAUCCCUGCAUGCAAACUGCUUCCACCCUGGAGCAUGGGACUUGGUGCCUCUAACCUGGCACUUACCCAGCAUCAGUAUUCUCUAGGCCGCAGAGCACUGCACAAGGACUACAUGGGUGAACUGUAGCCUGAAUAACUGAACAUUUUGCUCAUAAAAUGACUCAAUUCUCUCUCAAGGCCUGCUCCGGUCUGAGGCCGAUGUGCCCCAGGGCUCAGCCCACCAGACCUGGAGGAACUCCUGGCCCUAUUGAAGUCCUUGGGGGUUUUGCCUCUGACAUCAAUGGGGCCAGAAUUUCAGCCCAGUGGCUGGAGCUCUUCGUCAGUUCUCCUACGGCAGAUAUUUGCUUGCUCAAAAGUGCUCAUAUUGCAGCUGCUUGUGAUUCUUUCUCCCGUAGGGAUGGGGCUACUUGCUAACUUCCUGGCUAUCACAGUGUCCUGGUUCCGUUUAGCCCCGUGGGACCUAGCGAAUAGAACAAACUCGGGGGUGUAGUGCUGGGGAAGGCCCCUGACUGGUAACCGGCGAGACGGGAUGUAUAAAGUGGGCCUGGAAAGACAGUAGGCUUUACUCUUCUUCUCCUUUCUGCAUCUUUUUACAUUAGAAAUUAGGGUCCUAUGUGGCCAAGAAGACUGAGUGGAGAAAUGAGGCCACCCCAAGAAUGAAAGUUGAGCAACUCUGCAGGAUUGGGCUUUUUAGUCAGACUGCAUCAAACGAUAAGCACACAUUUAACUUCAGUGCGUAACUCACGCUUGGGAGAAAGGACGUCUUUGUUAAAGAUUCAAUUAAGGUGUGAGCACUUGCCCAACACAUCCUUUAACACUACCCGCAAACUCAGGGAAAAUCACAGGUCAUCUACUCCAGUCCGCUGUGCUGAGGCAGGACUAGGUAUUAUCUAGACCGUCUCUGACAGGUGUUUGUCCAACCUGCUCUUAAAAAUCCCCAAUGAUGGAGAUUCCACAACCGCCGUUGGUAAUUUGUUUUGAGUGCUUAACUACGCUGACAGACCAUUUCUCCAGUUUGUCCAGAUCAGUUUGAAUUCUAAUCCUGUUCUACAAAUGGCUCGCAACCCCUCCCAGUUGGGUAUCAUCCACAAACUUUAUAAGUGUACUCUCGAUGCCAUUAUCCAAGUCAUAGAUGAAGAUAUUGAACAGAACCAGACCCAGGACAGAUCCCCGAGGGACCCCACUCGAUCUGCCCUUCCAGCCUGAAUGCAAACCAUUGAUAACUAUUCUCCAAGUACAAUUUUCUAAGCAGUUUUGCACCCGCCUUACAGCAGGUCCAUCUAGGCUGUAUUUCUCUAGUUAGUUUAUGAGAUGGUCACGUGAGACAGUAUCAAAAGCCUCACUAAAGUCAAACUAUAUCACAGCUGCUGCCUUCCUCCUAUUCACAAGGACUGUUACCUGUCAAAGAAGGAUAUUAGGUUGAUUUGACAUGAUUUGUUUGUGACAAAAACAUAUUGACUGUCACCGUAUUUCCUUCUAGGUGCUUACAGAUUGAUUGAUUGAUUGCUCCAUUAUCUUUCUGGCACUGAAGUUAAACUGACUGGUCUAUAAUUCCCCGGGUUGUCCUUGUUCCUCUUUUUAUGCCCUUUUCAUAGAAUCAUAGAAUAUAAGGGUUGGAAGGGACCCCAGAAGGUCAUCUAGUCCAACCCCCUGCUCAAAGCAGGACCAAUUCCCAGUUAAAUUUUCCAGUCCUCUGGGUUCUCUGCCAUCCCCCACAAGUUCUCAGAGAUAACUGCUAAUGGCUCAGAGAUCUCUUCAGCCAAUUCCUUGAGUAUGCUAGGAUGCAUUUCAUCAGGUCCUGCUGACUUGAAGACAUCUAACGUGUUUAAGUAAUUCUUAACUUGUUCUUUUUGUAUUUUAGUUUCAGAUCCCACCCCACUUACCCUGAUGUUCGCUAGGUUAGUCGUCCGAUCACUGCUAACUUGUAUGGUGAAAACCGAAACAAAAAGGGCAUUUAACGCUU